AUUGAACGCUGGCGGCAUGCCUUACACAUGCAAGUCGAACGGCAGCACGGGAGCAAUCCUGGUGGCGAGUGGCGAACGGGUGAGUAAUGUAUCGGAACGUGCCCAGUCGUGGGGAUAACGUAGCGAAAGCUACGCUAAUACCGCAUACGAUCUAUGGAUGAAAGCGGGGGAUCGCAAGACCUCGCGCGAUUGGAGCGGCCGAUAUCAGAUUAGGUAGUUGGUGGGGUAAAGGCCCACCAAGCCUGCGAUCUGUAGCUGGUCUGAGAGGACGACCAGCCACACUGGAACUGAGACACGGUCCAGACUCCUACGGGAGGCAGCAGUGGGGAAUUUUGGACAAUGGGCGCAAGCCUGAUCCAGCAAUGCCGCGUGCAGGAUGAAGGCCUUCGGGUUGUAAACUGCUUUUGUACGGAACGAAACGGCUUUUUCUAAUACAGAGAGCUAAUGACGGUACCGUAAGAAUAAGCACCGGCUAACUACGUGCCAGCAGCCGCAGUAAAAC
rnacentral:rRNA from 1 species